UACGUAGGGGGCGAGCGUUGUCCGGAAUUAUUGGGCGUAAAGAGCUCGUAGGCGGUUUGGCGCGUCUGCUGUGAAAACCUAAGGCUCAACCUUGGGCUUGCAGUGGGUACGGGCAGACUAGAGUGCGGUAGGGGUGACUGGAAUUCCUGGUGUAGCGGUGGAAUGCGCAGAUAUCAGGAAGAACACCAACGGCGAAGGCAGCUCGCUGGGACGGAACUGACGCUGAGGCGCGAAAGCGUGGGGAGCGAACAGG
rnacentral:rRNA from 1 species